CCGGCGCACGGGUGAGUAACACGUAUGCAACCUGGCCGUCACAGGUGGAUAACCGGAAGAAAUUCCGACUAAUACAGCAUAACACUCCUGAGGGACAUCCUUCGGGAGUCAAAGGAGGCAACUCCGGUGACGGAUGGGCAUGCGGCGCAUUAGGUAGUUGGUAGGGUAACGGCCCACCAAGCCGACGAUGCGUAGGGGUUCUGAGAGGAAGGUCCCCACAUUGGAACUGAGACACGGUCCAAACUCCUACGGAAGGCAGCAG
rnacentral:rRNA from 1 species